CAGAUACCCAAAUAUGUUCCACUCCAACGAGAGGGAUUUCAUGGUGAAAAACUACCGGGAAGAGUCGCAUAUACCCAAAUAUGUUCCACUCCAACGAGAGGGAUUUCAUCGUGAAAAACUAUCGGGAAGAGUCGCAUAUACCCAAAUAUGUUCCACUCCAACGAGAGGGAUUUCAUGGUGAAAAACUACCGGGAAGAGUCGCAUAUACCCAAAUAUGUUCCACUCCAACGAGAGGGAUUUCAUGGUGAAAAACUACCGGGAAGAGUCACAUAUACCCAAAUAUGUUCCACUCCAACGAGAGGGAUUUCAUGGUGAAAAACUACCGGGAAGAGUCGCAUGUUAGUAUUUGCUAAUUACAAUUGUACUUGAAACUAUGUUAAUAUAAGGGAGACAAUAAAAAUAUGUUUUACUGUAACAAUAGCUUAGAAUUGUAUGAUAAAUUUGGUCUUAAAUCAAUUUCUUUUAUUCAAAUUUAGACUCGAAUGAGGUAUAUUUUAAUUAGAAUUCACAGUAAUUGUAAAUCAAAUGUCACUGAUUUAAGAUUUAAUUCAAAACACAUCACAUCAAUUUCAAUAGCCAAAAUAUAU